rnacentral:rRNA from 1 species
AGCAGUAGCCACGGUAAUACGGAGGGAGCUAGCGUUGUUCGGAAUUACUGGGCGUAAAGCGCACGUAGGCGGCUUUGUAAGUUAGAGGUGAAAGCCUGGAGCUCAACUCCAGAAUUGCCUUUAAGACUGCAUCGCUUGAAUCCAGGAGAGGUGAGUGGAAUUCCGAGUGUAGAGGUGAAAUUCGUAGAUAUUCGGAAGAACACCAGUGGCGAAGGCGGCUCACUGGACUGGUAUUGACGCUGAGGUGCGAAAGCGUGGGGAGCAAACAGGAUUAGAUACCCCAGUAGUCCCUGUCUCUUAUAA